CCAGAGCCAAUGCCUUCCUAGCCCGCGCACAGGCAUUGCAUGCUCUGGGUACGAGAUUGGGUUAUAUAUUAUAUGCAAGUUUCGAUAUUGCUUCCCAGAAAUACGUGUAGUACUAGUAGUCUAGGACCUGUAUAUGAGUUUGUAUGCAUUUCAUUUAGGACAGAUAAUCUCAACUGUUUUAGGGCAAGUUGACCAUGACGGUCAACAUGGUAACGCUGCCCGAACCCCAAUCCGGGACGAAACGUCCGAAAC